rnacentral:rRNA from 1 species
CCUACGGGAGGCAGCAGUGAGGAAUAUUGGUCAAUGGUCGCGAGCCUGAACCAGCCAAGUAGCGUGAGGGAUGAAGGUUCUAUGGAUCGUAAACCUCUUUUAUAAAGGAAUAAAGUGUGGCACGUGUCCCAUUUUGUAUGUACUUUAUGAAUAAGGAUCGGCUAACUCCGUGCCAGCAGCCGCGGUAAUACGGAGGAUCCGAGCGUUAUCCGGAUUUAUUGGGUUUAAAGGGUGCGUAGGCGGGUUGUUAAGUCAGCGGUGAAAGUCUGUGGCUCAACCGUAGAAUUGCGGUUGAUACUGGGGGGCUUGAGUACGGUUGAGGCAGGCGGAAUGCGUGGUGUAGCGGUGAAAUGCUUAGAUAUCACGCAGAACCCCGAUUGCGAAGGCAGCCUGCCAAGCCGUGACUGACGCUGAUGCUCGAAAGCGUGGGGAUCAAACAGGAUUAGAUACCCUAGUAGUC